CUACGGGUGGCAGCAGUGGGGAAUAUUGCACAAUGGGCGCAAGCCUGAUGCAGCCAUGCCGCGUGUAUGAAGAAGGCCUUCGGGUUGUAAAGUACUUUCAGCGGGGAGGAAGGGAGUAAAGUUAAUACCUUUGCUCAUUGACGUUACCCGCAGAAGAAGCACCGGCUAACUCCGUGCCAGCAGCCGCGGUAAUACGGAGGGUGCAAGCGUUAAUCGGAAUUACUGGGCGUAAAGCGCACGCAGGCGGUUUGUUAAGUCAGAUGUGAAAUCCCCGGGCUCAACCUGGGAACUGCAUCUGAUACUGGCAAGCUUGAGUCUCGUAGAGGGGGGUAGAAUUACAAGUGUAGCGGUGAAAUGCGUAGAGAUCUGGAGGAAUACCGGUGGCGAAGGCGGCCCCCUGGACGAAGACUGACGCUCAGGUGCGAAAGCGUGGGGAGCAAACAGGAUUAGAUACCCGAGUAGUC
rnacentral:rRNA from 1 species